rnacentral:misc_RNA from 1 species
UUAAUUUCGUUUCAUCGUAUAGAGAAAUGCCGAAGCAAUUCUUGAUGAGUUUCAAUCAGAUUGUUUGGUAUAUCACACUUGAUAAACAAGCGGAUUUUAAAUUGUUCCAAUGUAUUUCUUAUCUUCUCGGAAGAAAAUAACAAAUAACAUCGGUAAAAAGUUGAAGUUCCACGUGACUGAAGACGAUAGUAGCCGAAACUACUUUCGAAUUCAUGUGAAUUAAGGUGUGGUAAUGAUCCUUCCGCAGGUUCACCUACGGAAA